rnacentral:lncRNA from 1 species
GUGUUCAAAUGUAAAGUGAGGGAAGAAGAUCAAAAGUUAAAGUGUGUCCUUAAACAAGGGUGAUCUCCUCCUAUAUAUAUUAAUCUACUAACUAAGGAUUACAGAAAAUAAGAUAAACUAGACUUGUAGUGCGAAAAUCCACUUUCCGGGCCCACUUGGUGAGUGUUUGGGAUGAGCUUGAGUGAAGCCACGAGCUAAUACUCCCUUUUGGGCGUCCAACGCCAGUUUUGGACUCCUGAAUGGGCGUUGGACGCCAGCUACCCCCUUUUGGGCAUUGGACGCCAGGACUGGGGCUGGUGGCUGGCAUUGAACGCUAGUUUUGGACCUUCAUUUCCAAAGCAAAGUAUAGACUAUUAUAUAUUUCUGGAAAGCCCUGAAUGUUAGCUUUUCAGAGCCGUUGAGAGCGCGCCAUUUAGAUUUUUGUAGCUCCAGAAAUGCUCCUUUCAGUGCACGGAGGUCAGAUCCUAACAGCAUCUGCAGUCUUUUCUCUGUCUCUGAAUCAGACUUUGUCAAAACUCCUUAAUUUCAACCAGAAAAUACUUGAAAUCAUCAUAAAACACAACAACUCAAAGUAGAAUCUAAAAAUAUAAAUUUUUCACUAAAACCUAUGAAAAUAUAAUAAAACUUAAACAAAAUAUAAUGAAAACUAUAUGAAAAUGAUGUCAAAAAGCGUAUAAAAUAUCUAUUCAUCAUUUAAUAAGAUUGUAUGUUGGUUUUUGUAUAUCUUAGAUAUAGAUAAAGUGAUAUAGCCGCAAAAACACAAUUUUUUAAUUUGUUUGGUGACUAAACACAUGAUAGAACAUACAAAUCACAAUCUAAUUAGAAUAUUAUUUGUUACAAAUUAACACCACUUAACAAUUACCAUCUCAACCAUACCACCACCCUUAAAAGUUCUUAAUCUAACAACGAAUUCAAUCAACAAACCGAGUGCAAGAUUACUUAAAUAAAACUUAAAUCAAAAUCUAAAUAAAUAAAACAUUCAAAAUAUAUAAAAUAAAAAAAUAGAGAACUGAAAAGAGACUGACGGGAAAAAGAGAUGGAAGUAGAGGAAGAUGACGACAGAGCAGAGAGAUAGAGGUAGAGGAAUACUAAGGCGUGGAAUCAAAACUUCGGUAGAAGAAGAUCAAGAGGAAAAAAAGAGAAAGAUAGAUAUAGGAGCUGGUGACGUUAGAGACGACACAGACGUUAUGCGAAGGAGAAGCAAUAGUGGACUGAGGCACAUGCGAAGGCAACCACAGUGCGAAGUAAAGACACAACGAUGUGACAAAGACAGAUGUGAUGAUAAAGAAAAAAAAAAGACGAAAUCGGAGUGAAGAGAGGCAAAAAAAGAGGCAACAAAAAGGCAAUAGUGAUAGUGAAAGCACAUGAAGAAUAAAGAAAAAAAUGAUGAUAAUAGAGGCGAUAAAAACUGUGAAGAGAGAAAGAAAGGAAGGAGGAACAACGAUCAUACUGUGGGUGGUAGGAAAGGAACUGAAGAGGAGACGAUGAUAACAAGAAAAAGGAGAAGGAGAGGCGACGACAAUGGUUUGCUUGGGAGGGUUAUGCUACAAUGAGG